rnacentral:tRNA from 5 species
GCCUGGGUAGCUCAGGGGUAGAGCAGUGGAUUGAAAAUCCUCGUGUCGGCAGUUCGAUUCUGCCCCCGGGCACCA